rnacentral:ncRNA from 1 species
UUCGGGGAAGAGAUCCCCAAAAUACUGGGUAGCUGCUGUUAAACCAGGUUGGGUACUUUAUGAAAUGGGUGGAGUAACAGAAAAUAUAUCUAGAAGAGCGAUUUCAGUAGCAUCGUCCUUUCACAGUUUUAUAGGAGAGCAAUACAAGCGUCGUGAUGCUAGGCGAAACGGUGGUGUACUGCACCCUAGAUGACGAGAGUCCGGUAGCCAAAAGCAUCACUAGCUUACGCUCUGAAUCGAGUAGCAUGGGGCACGUGGAAUCCCGUGUGAAUCAGCAAGGACCACCUUUCAAGGUAAUAUGCUCCUGGGUGAUCGAUAGCGAAGUAGUACAAAGAGGGAAGUGUGAAAAAGAAACCCUAUUGGGGAGAGAAAUAGAACAUGAAACCGUA